GACGUAGGAUGCAAGCGUUGUCCGGAUUUAUUGGGCGUAAAGAGUUCGUAGGCGGUUCGUUAAGUCUGAUGUUAAAGAUCGGGGCCCAACCCUGAGAGUGCAUUGGAUACUGGCGAACUGGAGUGCAGUAGAGGCGAGUGGAAUUCCCAGUGUAGCGGUGAAAUGCGUAGAUAUUGGGAAGAACACCGGUGGUGUAGGCGACUCGCUGGGCUGUAACUGACGCUGAGGAACGAAAGCCAGGGGAGCGAAUGGG
rnacentral:rRNA from 1 species